rnacentral:piRNA from 1 species
UCAUCCAACGGGUGCUGAUGGAAUCUCCCCAU